GAUAUGCUGGGUAAGUAAGUUAAGGUCGUGUCUAUGAUAUAAUUCUAGCAGCCAGAAACGCCCAGGUAAUUUCUCAGUCUUGUGGCAAUCCCUGCGCGCAGAAUGGAUUGCAGAUACAUUUUCCGACCCGAAUAAUUCUGCAGCCAGCCCUCACGGCUGUUGAAUCACCAGUGGUUAACCUAUACUACCUAUACUACUGGUGCGGCCACUCAGUGCUGUUUUAAGCCCAUUCCUGGCCACACCACUUUGAUGUCAAUAACGCACCUUACUUACAUCUCUCAUCAACAACUAUAGAUCUUUCACAUACAUUCCUCGGAGACAGCAAUAGUUGCAAUGUCAUAUCUACAGAUUAUUGAUGCUUAACAUCAUUGCAGAAUGAUAAUACUUUACUUCUCAUAAUAUACUAGGGGCAGCCUGCCACUAUCACCCCCCUUCUGGGGGUGGGCAAACGAACCUCUAAGUCCCAGGGGAUGAAAGGCAUCUUUAAUUGCUUCACAGGGGUGGACAGCUCAGGCACAACACUCUAUAGCAGGAGCUUCAUGAAACAUGCAGCUGGGCUGGACGGAGCAAAAGUGCGAAGUCAUAUUGAUAUCAUCAGUGGAUGUCAUUAGCAGAUGUCAUCACAGAUAUCAUCAGCGGUAGGCAGGCAGAUAAAGCAGAUAAUUCAGGGGG
rnacentral:sRNA from 1 species